rnacentral:rRNA from 1 species
GGAAGUAAAAGUCGUAACAAGGUUUCCGUAGGUGAACCUGCGGAAGGAUCAUUACCUAGAGUUGCGGGCUUUGCCUGCCAUCUCUUACCCAUGUCUUUUGAGUACCUUACGUUUCCUCGGCGGGUCCGCCCGCCGACUGGACAAUUUAAACCACUUGCAGUUGCAAUCAGCGUCUGAAAAAACUUAAUAGUUACAACUUUCAACAACGGAUCUCUUGGUUCUGGCAUCGAUGAAGAACGCAGCGAAAUGCGAUAAGUAGUGUGAAUUGCAGAAUUCAGUGAAUCAUCGAAUCUUUGAACGCACAUUGCGCCCCUUGGUAUUCCAUGGGGCAUGCCCGUUCGAGCGUCAUUUGUACCUUCAAGCCUUGCUUGGUGUUGGGUGUUUGUCUCGCCUCUGCGCGUAGACUCGCCUCAAAACAAUUGGCAGCCGGCGUAUUGAUUUCGGAGCGCAGUACAUCUCGCGCUUUGCACUCAUAACGACGACGUCCAAAAGUACAUUUUUACACUCUUGACCUCGGAUCAGGUAGGGAUACCCGCUGAACUUAAGCAUAUCAAUAAGCGGAGGA